rnacentral:rRNA from 1 species
UACGGAGGGUGCAAGCGUUAAUCGGAAUUACUGGGCGUAAAGCGUGCGCAGGCGGUUUGUUAAGUCUGCUGUGAAAUCCCCGAGCUCAACUUGGGAAUUGCAGUGGAUACUGGCAAGCUGGAGUACGGUAGAGGAAGGUGGAAUUCCCGGUGUAGCAGUGAAAUGCGUAGAGAUCGGGAGGAACACCUGUGGCGAAAGCGGCUCACUGGACCAUUACUGACGCUGAUGCACGAAAGCUAGGGGAGCAAACAGG